rnacentral:rRNA from 1 species
AUGACCUCUCCAGGAGGGGAGGCCGGGAGGCGGGACAGCCGGCAGCGGCGCCAUUCUGUUCGGGGAUGCUUGGAUCUGGUGAUGCUGGAGCAUGGGAACGGGAAACAUCACUUCAGCUACGGAAUUUCAAAUAGCCAAUUUACCUUUCUCCCUAAAGAUUUCUUACACUGCUGUCAGUAUCAUUGGUCUUGGGGUCUAGAUUUUGUCAAUAUCAAAAUCUGGGUACUUACCAGCAAACGAGUUGUUGAUCUAUUUACUCAGUCAAGUUCAUUUCUGCUAUGUUCUUCAGUCAAGCUUUAG